rnacentral:rRNA from 1 species
UACGUAGGGGGCAAGCGUUGUCCGGAAUCAUUGGGCGUAAAGCGCGCGCAGGCGGUCCUUUAAGUCGGGGGUGAAAGCCCAGAGCUCAACUCUGGAACUGCCUUCGAAACUAGAGGACUUGGGUACGGGAGAGGUGAGUGGAAUUCCGAGUGUAGAGGUGAAAUUCGUAGAUAUUCGGAAGAACACCAGUGGCGAAGGCGGCUCACUGGCCCGUUACCGACGCUCAGGCGCGACAGCGUGGGGAGCAAACAGG